UUUUAGCCCCGAUAGCAGCGGAAAUCCUUUUUAUUGCCGGUUUUUUGUUUCCGGUUUUUAUGGUAAGCAUUCUGGCAAUAAAAAGAUUGCAGCGGAUAGCGGGAAAAAGU
rnacentral:sRNA from 1 species